UUGAGCGUUCUGGUCACAAACCCCCAAAGCUACCAAACUUCCCAUUUCAAUGGCGACUCUAGUAAAAGCGUACGGUCCAUCCAUGUCCACAGCUGUGUCCAGGGUCUUAGCCUCUCUCUAUGAGAAAAAUGUCGAGUUCCAGCUCUUCUACAUUAACAUGUUACAUGUCUAAUGGCAAACACAAAAAAGCCUGAGUUCCUCAAGCUCCAGAGUACAUGUCUGGUGGAAGCGUUUAUGACUUUCUGCAUAAACAAAAGGGUGUUUUCACACACCCAACCUUAAUCAGAGUAGCCAUUGAUGUUUCCAAGGGAAUGAACUAGUUGCAUCACAAUAAUAUAAUCCAUCGGGACCUGGAAAUUGCCAAUCUUUUGAUAGAUGGAAAUGGAGUAUGAGAUUUUCAUUUUUAUGUUGUUGCCUUUUAGAUCUGUAUGUUUUUUUUUGUUGUUAUUGUAUAUUAAGGACUACUUCUUAUCUCCCCUGGAGUUUCCUAAACUCAUGGCUUCUUCGCUGAUCACUGUCUUAGUCUGGAGAUACUGAUGCAUACUGGUCCUCUGCUGCAUAACCAUCAUAGCCUGAUGAUGGGUUGAUGAUGACAUAGUUAAAAACAAUCAUGUCAAAAUUAACCUAUUUGACUAGUUUGCUUAAAUUAAAGGAAAGCUACAUUUUCUGAAGUAAAAAUGACCAAUUUAACUGUGAAUUGCUUUUCGAUUAACAAUUUUGGCUAGUACGCAUGAUGGAGAACCACUCUCCGACUUAAAAUUUUGACUAGUGACCCUAAUUGAUGUGGCACGUGAUUGCAGGUAGUAUGAUAGGAUGUGAAGGCGUUAAUUUUAGUUUAAUAAGGAUUCAGAAGGCAGGGUUCUACUUAUUUUUUUCUCAAAUAAUGUAAUUAACAAGGAUGAGAGCUUAUUAGGUAUUAAUGGAUGAAAGUUGAUAAAAAGGCACUACUGAUUGUCAUGAAAUUUUUUAACAGCCUAUAUAUUUCUUUUAGAUUAAUAUUCCGUUCUCCUUUUGCUUCCAGACUAGAGGGCAGCUGCAUGCAUUCCUGUCCUUGAUUUAUUGGUUCUUCUGGAUGGGAGCUUUGUUAGGUUGUCAAGAUUGCUGAUUUUGGCAUUGCUAGAAAUGCAAGCUCAAUCUUGUGUUAUGACUGCCGAAACAGAACAUACCGUUGGAUGGCUCCAGAGGUUAUCAAACACAAAACAUAUGAUCACAAAGUGGAUGUUUUCAGCUUUGGAGUUCUAGUGUGGGAGUUGCUUACAGGAAAGGUAAUUUGCCACUUUGUUGGUAGUUAUAAUGAGUGCUGGUGAAGAAAAUAUAACUCUCUUCAGAUAAUUACUUUGCUAUAUCUUCUAAAAAAUAAUGGUUGCACAGACUUCAUAUCAAUCAUCUUGUUUUCUGACUAAAAUGCCAUCUCCCGUAUGAGCACUUGACCCCAAUACAAGCAGCAGUUGGUGUGGUUCAGAAGGUAUUCCUCUAUUAAAAUUUUUGACAUUGUAAAAUUGCACAGAAAAGACUUCCUCUCAAAGAGGUCUCCAUAAAAUUCUGGGAAAAUGUCAAUGAUUGCUGUCUUAAUAAAAUCUUGUUAAUCUUCUUCUACCCCAACAACAUCUUCUGUUUCUGUCUUUGUCUAGGUCUUUGUUUUUGUGUGCAUGUGAUUUCCCCUUUUGGUUCAAGGGAGAAUUUUAGUUCAUCAUCAUCCCCUUUUUCACCAACAAUAUAAUUUGUUCUAGCCCUGGAAUCUAUGACCACUGAGCAGGUGACACAACUACCUAACCUCCAUGCCUACAAAGAGGGUUUUGGUCCAUUCUGAAGAAUGAGUAUGCUGGGAAAAUCACAUCUGGACCAAGAACCUGCUGGUAUAGCUGUUUGUUUGAAGAGUAGGGUAUUUCUUAUUUUUGAGAGAUUUAAAAAAAAAGAAGAAAAAAACGAAAGUACUUAACUGGGCAUUGCAGACUAGUGGAAGACAGAAAGAUCUUAAGUUAAUAUAGAGAUUUGGUGACAUGAAUUUCAGGGUCUGAGGCCUACAAUUCCAUAGCAGACUCCUCCAAAGCUUGGGGAAUCACUUGAGAGAUAUUGGCAGCAAGAUCUAUCUUUAAGACCAGAAUUCUCAGAAAUUUUAGAAAUUUGCAGCACAUGGCCAAGAGGGUUGCAGAAGAGAGAAUGGACCGGCAGAAGGUGAAAUCACUUAGAAGAGUACCUGCUUUUGUACGGAGUGUCGAUUGAAGUGCAACUGGCAAGUGAGAAGGCUGUUUAUAACACAUGUUAAUGAUGUAAUAAUCUUGUUUUGCUGAGUUCCUUUCACUUUGUUUUUUCUCCAUUUGGAACUCUCUGUUGUUAAUCCAACUAAUGACUAGAUAUUGCCUGAACAGUCACUGAAUUUAGUAAUAAUCCAAACAUUUCUUUCAGUA